CACGUAGGGUGCGAGCGUUGUCCGGAAUUAUUGGGCGUAAAGAGCGCGCAGGCGGUCGAUCAAGUCGAGUGUGAAAGCCCCCGGCUCAACUGGGGAGGGUCAUUCGAAACUGGUCGACUCGAAGGCAGGAGAGGGUAGUGGAAUUCCCGGUGUAGUGGUGAAAUGCGUAGAUAUCGGGAGGAACACCAGUGGCGAAGGCGACUACCUGGCCUGUUCUUGACGCUGAGGCGCGAAAGCUAGGGGAGCAAACGGG
rnacentral:rRNA from 1 species